rnacentral:rRNA from 1 species
GAUGAACGCUAGCGAUAGGCUUAACACAUGCAAGUCGAGGGGUAACGUGUUGGAAGCUUGCUUCCGAUGACGACGACCGGCGGAUGGGUGCGUAACGCGUAUGCAACUUGCCUCACAGUGGAGAAUAACCCGGAGAAAUCCGGACUAAUACUCCAUACACUCUUAAGUACGCCUGUACAUGAGAGGAAAGAUCUAUCGCUGUGAGAUAGGCAUGCGUCCUAUUAGGUAGUUGGUGAGGUAACGGCUCACCAAGCCGACGAUAGGUAGGGGUGCUGAGAGGCAGAUCCCCCACAUUGGGACUGAGACACGGCCCAAACUCCUACGGGAGGCAGCAGUGAGGAAUAUUGGUCAAUGGAGGAAACUCUGAACCAGCCAAGUCGCGUGAAGGAAGAAUGUCCUAAGGAUUGUAAACUUCUUUAGCGAGCGAGUAAGGACUUCCACGUGAUGGGAGUUUGAAAGUAGCUCGAGAAUAAGUAUCGGCUAACUCCGUG